AGCCUUACCUUUUGACCUGGAGCGAGUCUUCUCCCGAAGCGCAGGGUUUGCUCUGAGGUGCGUUCGCGUCAGCAAAUACCUGCUUUCCCCGGCAAGCGACUCCUCCCGCUCGUUCGGGAGCGGUGAUUUCGCCUUGCUGCUCAGUCGGGACGUCUCCAGGAAAAUAUACGUGCGAGUUUCGCUCGCCCUGACUUCACAGCACGGCUUCGAAGUGACAUUGCGGCGCUGAUAAGAUUAGGAAGGCAGGUCAUCUUUUCUUGACGUAAAGAUCCAUGGAGUGAUGCUACCAGCCUUUCUUCCAAGCUUCCAGGCUGGUCUUGUGCAGACCGCUCAACACCAAGUCUUCCCAUCAGUCUUCUCCCUUAAUCUGGAAUCCUCAAGUAGAAAUGUGUGGGGCCUGACAACGCUGAAAGUCAUCUGACUGAAACCAGCCAAUGCUUCUCAGCACAGCUGAAAUAGCAGAUGCAUUCUUCCUCACCAGCACUGAAAGUGGAGAUGAAUUUUUGCCGGUAAAAGGAAAAAUGUCAUAAUGCAUGGGAAUGCAGAUGAAAUAUAGUUCAGCAUGGAGUCCAGACAACAAUAGAGAGUGGAGCAGCGCAGCGCUUGCAGCUCUGAACGAACGUGCCAAACGACGACACUCAAAGAGCGCUAGCUGUUGUGACACAAGCAAACUGUUUCAGGUUUUAGAUAUACGUUAUUUCGGAAUCUUGGUCUUCCAUAAGGUAAAAACUGUCGUUAAAACCGCCCUUUUUAACCAAUUCUUUUGCUAGGGUUAUUAAUAAUAUCGUUCUUGACAUUCUUGUCAUUUUGAAAAAAAUGUUCUGUUUUCAGAUCACAGUCUGUCUAGCAGGUUUUAUUUUAUUUUAUUUUAGGAUGCCUUUGACAUAAAGGUGUAGCAUGUGUGGACCAUUAAUGAUGUCACUGGCUAAUGCAGGAGGACUGCAGACUUAAUAUUUGGGAAAGCGUUCCAGUUCUUGAUCACUUUGGCUUUCAUGGAAAUUAUGUAUUUGUCUUAGGAAGAGGAGCCAACCACUCUUAUUUUAGAAUGUGUACACUAAAGCAUUUUAGAAAAGAGAAGAAAAUUAAUUUCAACUGGAAAAAGAGCGAACCUCUUUUUACUUGACUAAGUCCUAAAAUGUUAAUUACAUUCACAACUGAAAAAUUAAGGGAACGCACAAAACUAUAAUAACAAAAUAUUUUACUAAAAUAUCAUACAUUCAAUAAUUAGCUCAACAUUCACAUGUUCUAUGCAAAUAAUGCAAACAUUGUCACACAUUUUGAAUUAUAUAGUAUUCUGCACAAAUUCAAGAAUAGCAGCAUUCCUGGCAGAUACACUAUACACGGUUAGCCCUUUUGUUUCAUUCAGCUUUUACAUAAGGCAAGUGUUUUGAUUAUAAAAAUCUAUUCUGUAUUCCCAAAAGAGCCUAGAGGGUGUAUACUUGUUCAGUAAUAUUGAAUUAGAUAGGAUUUGAUCGCACAACUUUCAUGGAGAUUUUCGAAAAUCCUAAACUGAAUUACGAAUAUGUUAGUUGAUGAGUUAGGAUUGUGAAAAAUGUAUUCAUUUUUCUGUUUUCAAAAACUGAUCUGGAACGCUGAAAUAUACAUUAAUCAGAUUUGUUGAUUUUUACACUCCUAACUGAUAAACGAGAAGCACUAGAGUAACUUUCGGAGUAACUUUCCAAAGCUGUUUAGAAAAACCUGAUUUAAUGAUCUUCUGACCCAAAAAGCAUAAAAAUGUUAGGAAAUUGUACUACUUCUCCAGAUAAACUGCCAAAAAAAUGUGUCUGUAUUACUUUAUUAACCUACACAAUUUUUUAUUUAUAUGUAUAUGUACACAAACAACACUGUAGUAUUGUGUUUUACAGUCCCAGUUAUAUUUCCAACCUUUCUAUGAUGGCCACUGGUAGGAAAAUACACGUAAUUUGGCAAAAAGCCACUAAUGCACAGUUGUGAUUGUGUUAAAAGCCAUGAUCCAUGGCCUAAGCAGCAAAAGCUAAUUUCAUUAGCUGAAACAUUUAAAAUGAGUAACAUAGUGGCUUUGUUUAAAUAAAUGAGUUUGCCUUACAUGUAAUCA
ensembl:lncRNA